UUUCCUUUUCAGCAUCACCUACUGUCCAGCAGAAGGCGCCAGCGGUUCGGGUUUGUCAGGAGGGCGUGCUGAGGGGUUCAACAGGACGCACCUGUUUGGGAUCAUCUUCAUCAACCAGGAGGAGUACGUGAGCAGCGGGCUUCCAGUACUUCUCUGCCAGAGUGUUUGCCUUUUGUGGACAAAUUCAAGUGCCUCUGGGAAAGUUCCCUCGAGUCCACUAGCCCUGGAUUACUCUUUUCGAGACGCCGUGAGUUUUACUCAUUGGAAGCCCGAGUAUCACUACCAUCUCCUCUGUGAACUUACCUCCAACAAGUCUCUGGCUGGAAGUCCGCCUCGCUGUUCCUCGGUGCCCUCACCCUGACUUACCUGUUCGCCCUCCAACGCCACUUCCGUCCUCGGCCUACCGACUGUCUCAUCACAAUCUCCACAACUUGGUACCAAAACCUUCAACAACAACCCCUUCGGAGUUCCUGGUCGCAGUCAUCCUUACUGUUGCUCUGUCAAGUCGCUUGUAAAUAAACUAAUUGCAUUUACUUGUCCUCUGAGUGUUUCUGCAUGUGGGCUCGAAACAUUAAACCCAACAUGACACUCAAUCAUGGGAUAUUAAAAAAGAGAAAUACAAAAAAAAAAAGGAUUGCAAUUAUAGAAAUGUGAUUCCAGUGAAAAGCAUGCCCAUGCAUAAAAUUUAGUUGGGGCUGUUUUUGGAUGAAUUAGUUGGGGCUGUUUUUGGAUUGCUGCUGCAAGUGUUUAACAUGCAGCAGCAAUCCAAGAGUGUGUGUUUGCGGCAUGGCAUGCAUAGGAUCAGAACUAUGGCUCUGCUUUGAUAGCAGGUUUUAUCUUGUCAUUGUUAUUGGGCCCACUGCCUCCAGUCGUCUUAAAAAUGAAAAAUAAAAUCUCUAAUUGGAUAAGGCCAGCUGAGUUUGAACAGUGACGUGAUUGUCAUUGAACCAGGUGAUGCUUCUUUCAGCAGUACUGGCAGAAACCAAGUCCAGUUGGAAAAUAUUCAUUAACUUGGAGCAUGGGUUUCAAAGAGGAACAUUUGUCAUAAAAAAGUAUCUUUAAAAAUAAGCAGAUAUUAAGCAUACUUUCCAUUAAAUGCAUACAUUUCUGUAAUAUAUUUUUUUCUUUGGUCUGAUGUAAUAUCCAUCCAUCCAUUCUCUACCUGCUUAUCCCUGUAAGGUUUCUGGGGGGCUGCAGCCUUAUUCCAGCGGCCAUUGGGGGUAAAAUGGGUGCACCUUGAACAGAUCGCCAGUCUGAUGUAACUUUCUAAUCCUAAGUGUCAUCUUUUCAUUAACUGUAAGUAGAAAUCUUCAUGACGAACAAAAAUAAAUGUUUGAAAAAAACAUCUGUGUGUAAUGAAUCCAUAAAAUGCGUUUUUCUUUGUAAACUGAUUUACUGAAAUAUAAAUUUCUUCAAUAUCUGUUAAUAUAAAGCUUGUCAUUGGAGGGAAUCAUAAAGUGAGCCAAAUUUUUCUUGUAAUUUUGUUUCACAUUGGACUCCAAGCAUCUUGGAUUAUCAUGUAUUUCUUCCUCCAGACAUUUGGCCCUUGUUUUUUUUUUUUUUUUUGUUUGUUUUUAAACAAAAGUUAUACAUCAUUUUCAUCUGAAAAGUGUUCGGGCCACCCAGCAACAGUCCAGACUUCUCUGCUUGAUCUUGGUUAGAGGCGUUUGCUAUUUUCUCUGGUUCAGUAUCGUUAACACAAGAAAUGUGAUAGUUUAACCCUUCCUCCUGGAUAAGUCUCUGUGUAGUUACUCUUUGACUCCAUUGACGACCGAAACCUUGUGACUCUUUCAGAAACUGUUGAUUUGGCUUUGCCUUACAAUUCUCACAAGUGUGCAGUUUUCCCUGCUGUUUUUGCACCACUUUCUACAGUACCACACUC